UACGAAGGUUGCAAGCGUUACUCGGAAUUACUAGGCGUAAAGGGCAUGUAGGUGGUUUGGUAAGUCUGUUGUGAAAGCUCCCGGCUUAACUGGGAGAGGCCAACGGAUACUACCAGGCUUGAGUAUAGGAGAGGUUACUGGAAUUCCCUAUGUAGCGGUGAAAUGCGCAGAUAUGGGGAGGAACACCAAUGGCGAAAGCAGGUAACUGGACUAUUACUGACACUCAAAUGCGAAAGCUAGGGGAGCAAACAGG
rnacentral:rRNA from 1 species